rnacentral:rRNA from 1 species
GACGAACGCUGGCGGCGUGCUUAACACAUGCAAGUCGAGCGGUAAGGCCCUUUCGGGGGUACGACGAGCGGCGAACGGGUGAGUAACACGUGGGUGACCUGCCCUCAGCUCUGGGAUAAGCCUGGGAAACCGGGUCUAAUACCGGAUAUGACUCCAUGACGCAUGUUGUGGGGUGGAAAGCCUUGUGCGGCUGAGGAUGGGCCCGCGGCCUAUCAGCUUGUUGGUGGGGUGAUGGCCUACCAAGGCGACGACGGGUAGCCGGCCUGAGAGGGCGACCGGCCACACUGGGACUGAGACACGGCCCAGACUCCUACGGGAGGCAGCAGUGGGGAAUAUUGGACAAUGGGGGCAACCCUGAUCCAGCGACGCCGCGUGUGUGAAGAAGGCCUGCGGGUUGUAAAGCACUUUAGU